rnacentral:rRNA from 1 species
UACGGGGGGGGCAAGCGUUGUUCGGAAUUACUGGGCGUAAAGGGCUCGUAGGCGGCCAACUAAGUCAGACGUGAAAUCCCUCGGCUUAACCGGGGAACUGCGUCUGAUACUGGAUGGCUUGAGUUUGGGAGAGGGAUGCGGAAUUCCAGGUGGUAGCGGAUGAAAUGCGUAGAUAUCUGGAGGAACACCGGUGGCGAAGGCGGCAUCCUGGACCAACACUGACGCUGAGU